rnacentral:rRNA from 1 species
GAGAUCCCUGCCUCUAGUUGCCACCAUUACUCUCAGGAGUAGUGGGGCGAAUUAGCGGGACCGCCGCAGUUAAUGCGGAGGAAGGAAGGGGCCACGGCAGGUCAGUAUGCCCCGAAACUCUGGGGCCACACGCGGGCUGCAAUGGUAGUGACAAUUGGUUCCGAAUCCGAAAGGAGGAGGUAAUCCUCAAACGCUACCACAGUUAUGACUGAGGGCUGCAACUCGCCCUCACGAAUAUGGAAUCCCUAGUAACUGCGUGUCAUUAUCGCGCGGUGAAUAC